rnacentral:rRNA from 1 species
AUUGAACGCUGGCGGAAUGCUUUACACAUGCAAGUCGAACGGCAGCACGGACUUCGGUCUGGUGGCGAGUGGCGAACGGGUGAGUAAUGUAUCGGAACGUGCCCAGUCGUGGGGGAUAACGUAGUGAAAAUUACGCUAAUACCGCAUACGAUCUAUGGAUGAAAGCGGGGGAUCGCAAGACCUCGCGCGAUUGGAGCGGCCGAUAUCGGAUUAGGUAGUUGGUGGGGUAAAGGCCCACCAAGCCAACGAUCUGUAGCUGGUCUGAGAGGACGAGCGGCCACGCUGGAACUGUGACACGGUCCAGACUCCUACGGGAGGCAGCAGUGGGGAAUUUUGGACAAUGGGCGAAAGCCUGAUCCAGCCAUUCCGCGUGCAGGAUGAAGGCCCUCGGGUUGUAAACUGCUUUUGUACAGAACGAAAAGGUUUCUACUAAUACUAGGAGCUCAUGACGGUACUGUAAGAAUAAGCACCGGCUAACUACGGGCCAGCCGCCGCGGUAA